rnacentral:rRNA from 1 species
CCUACGGGAGGCAGCAGUGGGGAAUAUUGCACAAUGGAGGAAACUCUGAUGCAGCGACGCCGCGUGCGUGAAGAAGUCUUUCGGUAUGUUAAGCUCUAUCAGCAGGGAAGAUAAUGACGGUACCUGACUAAGAAUCCCCGGUUCACUACGGGCCAGCAGCCGCGGUAAUACGUAGGGGGCAGGCGUUAUCCGGAUUUACUGGGUGUAAAGGGUGCGUAGGUGGCAGGGCAAGUCAGAUGUGAACGCCCGGGGCUCAACCCCGGUAUUGCAUUUGAAACUGUCCAGCGGGAGUGCAGGAGAGGUAAGCGGAAUGCCUGGUGUAGCGGUGAAAUGCGUAGAUAUUAGGAGGAACACCAGUGGCGAAGGCGGCUUACGGUACUGUAACUGACACUGAGGCACGAAAGCGGGGGGAGCAAACAGGAUUAGAUACCCCAGUAGUC